UCCAUCCUUGCCGCUCUUUAGCAAUUUUCCCAUGCUGAUUCGCCACAUCCCCAGCCUUUCUACCUAACCGGACCACUGUUGGUCGCCGGGACCCGGGAUGAUAUGGGAACAGGGGUUGCGGAUGUUAGUCUCGCCUGCUGCCCCAGCGUGAUGGCAAGCAGGCUGACUCGGCAGCGUGAUAGCAAGCAAGCUGGAUCGGAUGAUAGUUUCUUAGUCUCACUCUAGAUAAUCUGCUCUCAAACUGAGGCACAGAAUCCUGCAAAAGUAGAUUACAGUUGUUGCUUCUACAGGUUCUAAAAGUUGUGUUCAUGGAUCCAGAGCUUCUAAUGUGUGACUUUUCAGUUCUCAGUUGUGAGAAUGGAUAGGGCUGACCAACAUGAUCCACCAGGGCGUCCCCGCUGGUGCCAUGGGAGAGGCCAGACUGGGGAUGUUGGUCCAAUUGCUCGCUC